UCAGCAGUAUUAAAGUGCUUAUAGUGCAGGUAGUGUUUUGCACAAUCUACUGCAAUGUAAGCACUUGAAGUACUUCUAA
rnacentral:pre_miRNA from 1 species